rnacentral:rRNA from 1 species
UCCUACGGGGGGCAGCAGUGGGGAAUAUUGCACAAUGGGGGGAACCCUGAUGCAGCGACGCCGCGUGAGUGAAGAAGUAUUUCGGUAUGUAAAGCUCUAUCAGCAGGGAAGAAAAUGACGGUACCUGACUAAGAAGCCCCGGCUAACUACGUGCCAGCAGCCGCGGUAAUACGUAGGGGGCAAGCGUUAUCCGGAUUUACUGGGUGUAAAGGGGGCGUAGACGGUGAUGCAAGUCUGGAGUGAAAGGCGGGGGCCCAACCCCCGGACUGCUCUGGAAACUGUAUGACUUGAGUGCAGGAGAGGUA